CAGCCGCCACGGUAAUACAGAGGGUGCGAGCGUUAAUCGGAUUUACUGGGCGUAAAGCGUGCGUAGGCGGCUUCUUAAGUCGGAUGUGAAAUCCCUGAGCUUAACUUAGGAAUUGCAUUCGAUACUGGGAAGCUAGAGUAUGGGAGAGGAUGGUAGAAUUCCAGGUGUAGCGGUGAAAUGCGUAGAGAUCUGGAGGAAUACCGAUGGCGAAGGCAGCCAUCUGGCCUAAUACUGACGCUGAGGUACGAAAGCAUGGGGAGCAAACAGGAUUAGAUACCCCCGUAGUCCCUGUCUCUUAACA
rnacentral:rRNA from 1 species